rnacentral:rRNA from 1 species
GCUAGCGACAGGCUUAACACAUGCAAGUUGAGGGGCAGCACAGGUAGCAAUACCGGGUGGCGACCGGCGCACGGGUGAGUAACGCGUAUGCAACUUGCCUAUCAGAGGGGGAUAACCCGGCGAAAGUCGGACUAAUACCGCAUGAAGCAGGGGCCCCGCAUGGGGAUAUUUGCUAAAGAUUCAUCGCUGAUAGAUAGGCAUGCGUUCCAUUAGGCAGUUGGCGGGGUAACGGCCCACCAAACCGACGAUGGAUAGGGGUUCUGAGAGGAAGGUCCCCCACAUUGGUACUGAGACACGGACCAAACUCCUACGGGAGGCAGCAGUGAGGAAUAUUGGUCAAUGGCCGAGAGGCUGAACCAGCCAAGUCGCGUGAGGGAUGAAGGUUCUAUGGAUCGUAAACCUCUUUUAUAAGGGAAUAAAGUGCGGGACGUGUCCCGUUUUGUAUGUACCUUAUGAAUAAGGAUCGGCUAACUCCGUGCCAGCAGCCGCGGUAAUACGGAGGAUCCGAGCGUUAUCCGGAUUUAUUGGGUUUAAAGGGUGCGUAGGCGGCCUUUUAAGUCAGCGGUGAAAGUCUGUGGCUCAACCAUAGAAUUGCCGUUGAAACUGGGGGGCUUGAGUAUGUUUGAGGCAGGCGGAAUGCGUGGUGUAGCGGUGAAAUGCAUAGAUAUCACGCAGAACCCCGAUUGCGAAGGCAGCCUGCCAAGCCAUGACUGACGCUGAUGCACGAAAGCGUGGGGAUCAAACAGGAUUAGAUACCCUGGUAGUCCACGCAGUAAACGAUGAUCACUAGCUGUUUGCGAUACACAGUAAGCGGCACAGCGAAAGCGUUAAGUGAUCCACCUGGGGAGUACGCCGGCAACGGUGAAACUCAAAGGAAUUGACGGGGGCCCGCACAAGCGGAGGAACAUGUGGUUUAAUUCGAUGAUACGCGAGGAACCUUACCCGGGUUUGAACGCAUUCGGACCGAGGUGGAAACACCUUUUCUAGCAAUAGCCGUUUGCGAGGUGCUGCAUGGUUGUCGUCAGCUCGUGCCGUGAGGUGUCGGCUUAAGUGCCAUAACGAGCGCAACCCUUGCCACUAGUUACUAACAGGUGAUGCUGAGGACUCUGGUGGGACUGCCAGCGUAAGCUGCGAGGAAGGCGGGGAUGACGUCAAAUCAGCACGGCCCUUACAUCCGGGGCGACACACGUGUUACAAUGGCGUGGACAAAGGGAGGCCACCUGGCGACAGGGAGCGAAUCCCCAAACCACAUCUCAGUUCGGAUCGGAGUCUGCAACCCGACUCCGUGAAGCUGGAUUCGCUAGUAAUCGCGCAUCAGCCAUGGCGCGGUGAAUACGUUCCCGGGCCUUGUACACACCGCCCGUCAAGCCAUGGGAGCCGGGGGUACCUGAAGUCCGUAACCGCGAGGAUCGGCCUAGGGUAAAACUGGUGACUGGG